rnacentral:rRNA from 1 species
GAGUUUGAUCAUGGCUCAGGAUGAACGCUAGCGGCAGGCCUAACACAUGCAAGUCGAACGGUAACAGGAAUUAGCUUGCUAAUUUGCUGACGAGUGGCGCACGGGUGCGUAACGCGUAUGCAAUCUACCUUGUACUGGAGUAUAGCCCAGGGAAACUUGGAUUAAUCCUCCAUAGUCUAUUGAUAUGGCAUCGUAUUAAUAGUAAAGGUUACGGUACAAGAUGAGCAUGCGUCCUAUUAGCUAGUAGGUGUGGUAACGGCACACCUAGGCAACGAUAGGUAGGGGUCCUGAGAGGGAGAUCCCCCACACUGGUACUGAGACACGGACCAGACUCCUACGGGAGGCAGCAGUGAGGAAUAUUGGACAAUGGGCGGGAGCCUGAUCCAGCCAUGCCGCGUGCAGGAAGACUGCCCUAUGGGUUGUAAACUGCUUUUAUACGGGAAGAAUAAGUGUUACGUGUAGCACGAUGACGGUACCGUAAGAAUAAGCACCGGCUAACUCCGUGCCAGCAGCCGCGGUAAUACGGAGGGUGCAAGCGUUAUCCGGAAUCAUUGGGUUUAAAGGGUCCGUAGGUGGACUAGUAAGUCAGUGGUGAAAGUCUGCAGCUUAACUGUAGAAUUGCCAUUGAUACUGUUGGUCUUGAAUUGUUGUGAAGUAACUAGAAUAUGUAGUGUAGCGGUGAAAUGCAUAGAUAUUACAUAGAAUACCGAUUGCGAAGGCAGGUUACUAACAAUAUAUUGACACUGAUGGACGAAAGCGUGGGGAGCGAACAGGAUU